UGCGUAACGCGUAUGCAACCUACCUUUUACAGGGGAAUAGCCCAGAGAAAUUUGGAUUAAUGCCCCAUGGUAUAUUUGAGUGGCAUCACUUGAUUAUUAAAGUUCCAACGGUAAAAGAUGGGCAUGCGUCCUAUUAGCUUGAUGGUAAGGUAACGGCUUACCAUGGCUACGAUAGGUAGGGGUCCUGAGAGGGAGAUCCCCCACACUGGUACUGAGACACGGACCAG
rnacentral:rRNA from 1 species